UACGAAGGGGGCUAGCGUUGCUCGGAAUUACUGGGCGUAAAGCGCACGUAGGCGGCUUUCUAAGUCGGGGGUGAAAUCCUGGAGCUCAACUCCAGAACUGCCUUCGAUACUGGAGAGCUCGAGUCCGGGAGAGGUGAGUGGAACUGCGAGUGUAGAGGUGAAAUUCGUAGAUAUUAGGAAGAACACCAGUGGCGAAGGCGGCUCACUGGCCCGAUACUGACGCUGAGGCACGAAAGCGUGGGGAGCAAACAGG
rnacentral:rRNA from 1 species